rnacentral:rRNA from 1 species
GGACGAACGCUGGCGGCGUGCCUAAUACAUGCAAGUCGAACGAAACUUUCUUACGCCGAAUGCUUGCAUUCACCGUAAGAAGUUGAGUGGCGGACGGGUGAGUAACACGUGGGUAACCUGCCUAAAAGAAGGGGAUAACACUAGGAAACAGGUGCUAAUACCGUAUAUCUCUAAGGAUCGCAUGAUCCUUAGAUGAAAGAUGGUUCUGCUAUCGCUUUUAGAUGGACCCGCGGCGUAUUAACUAGUUGGUGGGGUAACGGCCUACCAAGGUGAUGAUACGUAGCCGAACUGAGAGGUUGAUCGGCCACAUUGGGACUGAGACACGGCCCAAACUCCUACGGGAGGCAGCAGUAGGGAAUCUUCCACAAUGGACGCAAGUCUGAUGGAGCAACGCCGCGUGAGUGAAGAAGGUCUUCGGAUCGUAAAACUCUGUUGUUAGAGAAGAACACGAGUGAGAGUAACUGUUCAUUCGAUGACGGUAUCUAACCAGCAAGUCACGGCUAACUACGUG